AAUAAAAUUUGUGAAAUGGGCGGAGUCAGGCAUUAAGCUGGUGUUGCUGUACACUUUAAUAAUGAUUCAUGUACUGUUUGAUUUAAAGCCAUGGUUGCAGUGUCAGAUAAUAUCUAGCCUCACCCCUCCUUAAUGCUGAAGACAUUCAUUAAUGUUUAAUCGGUUGAGAAAAUCAGCUCAAACAGGCAGAGUAUCAAAAGCAACGUCACUGCUUCUGAGCUCAAAUUGACGUAGUGGCUGUUCGGCCAUUUCCGUGGAUGUCCUGCACGUUGACGUAAAUGCCCUAUCAAAAAUAGCAACCCGCCUGGCCUGUCUUAAAGUCUGUACGGUUGUGGGGCCCUUCUGGAAGAGGAGGGGGAAAAAAAGAGGCCCGUCCCUGCUUGUGGAAAAAGUACGUCUCUUUCUUCGCUGCCUGUCAAAGCGGCGCUGUUCGGCAGCGUUUUCCCACGGUGCUCCUGUCAGCCAGCCCUGCACUGCUGGCUGCCAGGCUCGGCUCCCUGCACUUUAAACACUUCCUCUGCCGCGUGUGUAGUGACACCAUCCUUAACGGGAGAGAGCUCCGGUGAAAGAAAUCCCCGAGCAAACCAGCAUCCCCUGAAAGAAGUACGCUUGCGGGGAGGGGUUAGGCGAUGCCAGAACUCUCCAAGGUCUCUGGCAAGGCCUGGAGCAUCAAGAGUUCAAUUCACAGAAAGAAGAGCAGGUUGUGUGCGUGUUGCCUUGGAAACGGGGAACUCAGGGAUAAACGAGGACCUCAGAAGUCUGCCCCUAAUGAUAUCCAGCCCCAGAGAGAGAGAGAGAGCGGUUGAUGCUGAACUCCACAUGCAUGCGUCUUAAUAAACUGAUCAUCGAUUGGAUCACUGUGUGGGACCGGUCUCCUGACUCUCCUCAGUAACUGAAGCUCCUGAGGUGGAAAUUUUCCUGUCAAAAUGGCCUAAUCUGAUGAUUGUCAGAGCGUGACGAAGGUUAAAAAGAGAAAAUCUCAGAAAGGAACCAACCCAGCCUGUGAGGAGCCUCAAUACUGUCCAACAAUUUCAAGUGCAAUUUUAGUAAAAGUGAACACACACAGCCUACAUAAAGUGAAAGUCACUCAAGAUAUAAUUUGAACUGGCCAAUGAACUUCAAAAGGGACACGUGCAAGUUUCUAAACUGAUCUGUGAUUCCAGGAAUGCACAUCAGUACCCUAUAUUGCUCAUUUUUAGAGGAUAGAUUCAAACAGACUUUUUUGGUAGAUUGUAUAUUAAUCACUGCUUUUUAAAAAAAAUAAGAACCAAGAUAUUGUAGAGAAAAAGGUGCCCCGGUGGACAGAUAUUCAUUUUGAAUCAAAUAAACUCAAUCAAAAGUUUCAUAAAAUGUUGACAGAUGGCAUCCAUGUGCAACAUGCUUGAUCAACAGUUUCUAGAAUCUGAGUUUGUAUUCCUAUAGAACAGGGGUAACUAACCCUGUUCCUGGGGAUCUACCAUCCUUUUGGUUUUCAUUUCAGCCCUAAUUUGGCACACCUGACUCCACUAAUUAACAGCUCAACAAGAUCUCUAGCCGUUGAAAGAGGUGUGUUUUGUUAGGGUUGGAAUGAAAACGUACAGGACACUAGAUCUCCAGAAAUAGGGUUGGUUACCACUGCUAUAGAGUAAAAAAAACCACACUCACAGUGGCACCUUGUUUACUUGUAUGAAAAGCAGCAUUUAAAAACAAUCUUUCACAAGGAGGGAGAGGAGAAACUGCCCAACACUGUGGUCCUGGGGGAGACUGCUGGCCUUUCAUGCCAAUUGCAGCUGUAACGUUGCAAUGCAUACCAGACACAAGCUUUAUUUUCGUUUUGUCCUUUUUGGUUGUUCUUUGGAAUAAAUUACAGUUGAGAAAAUGA